UGUGUUGACAGCCAUGACCAUGAGCGACUGGUCCGGCCACAUUUCCCCCUCCCAUUUGGUUAACCAUUUAGAUAUUGGAGCAAAACAAAGCACAAGGCCCUAUUGUUGACAAUUUGGAGUGUCCUCCCCUCCACGUACCAAGAGCGCCGCCGUCAGGAUGUUACAUGAGGUUCUCCUGCUCAGAUUUCUUAACACAUAGCACCGUCAUAGUCCAAUUGCUUAGUGCUGGACAAGUUCAGUGCGAUCCUGAACUUGUCAUCAGUUAUCUGUCUGUGCCACAUAUUAGAUAGGGGUAUAAAUGGAUACACACAUCGCCCACCCAUUAGUCUGUUCUGGGCUGCGUUCCUGCCGAUCGCCCGCGGCAUGUCCCGCCACUACGGACCUACACUAUGUGUGUUGGUGAGCCUCUUGCGACUUUCUUCUUUCAGUUUUCACUUACAGUGCCAUAUAUUCUACUAAUUUGUUUGUUUGCUUUUAUUUUCUUCCACAGUGUAGCUGGAGCUCAUUCCCCACAUGCGGCAGCGACCCCGAUCCAUUGCUGUCUCUCUACUACUACCGUGUGCCGAGAUCUAGGAAGAAUGAGACAGUAGGUGACCGUGCGUGUGAUGAUAAUCCAAAGGAAUAAUUGCUACCCGUGGCGUGUUAUGGAAUAAUAUUUUGACCAAAAGAGUGCAGCAUUACAUAUUUACAUUUGCGUGCAGAAACUUAAAUGCAAUCACGAGUGGCCAGAUUGCAGCAUUGCCUGGCUGAGAAUUGCACGGCUAUUUUUUCAAGAGCUGAGGCUUCCAUCGGAGCUAAGGCUCUGAAAACAACAGAAGGCACCAGAAGAGCAACUGAACAAGAAAAUCAUAUACCGUAACAGAAAAGGAUGGAUCCAACAGAAAACGCAGUCUGUGGUGGUGACGCGCAGGGUUGAAAGCUAUGCAGGUGUGUUGUCAAGGGCUUUCAGGAUUUCUGAAACAGCAGUGCAUUUCCACGAGGCUGAAAAGUUGCCAUGCCCAAGUUUAUGUAUAAUAGUACAUACUGGCCUGCUGAAUAUAUGUGGCUUAGUAUUCAUUGAU
rnacentral:lncRNA from 1 species